UACGAAGGGGGCGAGCGUUGUUUGGAAUUACUGGGCGUAAAGGGCGCGCAGGCGGCCCUUGAAGUCAGGCGUGAAAGCCCCGGGCUCAACCUGGGAGGUGCGCUUGAUACUCGAGGGCUUGAGUGCGGGAGAGGAGAGUGGAAUUCCCAGUGUAGAGGUGAAAUUCGUAGAUAUUGGGAAGAACACCGGUGGCGAAGGCGGGUCUCUGGGCCGGUACCGACGCGUGAGGAGCGAAAGCGUGGGGAGCGAACAGG
rnacentral:rRNA from 1 species